rnacentral:sRNA from 1 species
AGAAAUUACCAAGAAAGCCUGGACCCCGGGUGAAACGGAGAAAUGGACACAAGUCCCCUGUGUUUCUCCAUUCUCUUGGUUUUAUGCAUCUUUAUCCAAUCAAGUGCCCUUGGACAAAGCCUGAAACCAGGUGGACGGCAUACUAGAAAACUGGAUCUGGCAGAUGGUGGCCGCGCUGAAGUCUCAGCCGACCCAGCCAGUGAACGUGGGGCUGGUGGACUGGAUCACCCUGGCCCACGACCACUACACCAUCGCCGUCCGCAACACCCGCCUUGUGGGCAAGGAGGUCGCGGCUCUUCUCCGGUGGCUGGAGGAAUCUGUUCAAUUCUCUCGAAGCCAUGUUCACCUAAUUGGGUACAGCCUGGGUGCACACGUGUCAGGAUUUGCCGGCAGUUCCAUCGGUGGAACGCACAAGAUUGGGAGAAUCACAGGGCUGGAUGCCGCGGGACCUUUGUUUGAGGGAAGUUCCCCCAGCAAUCGUCUUUCUCCAGAUGAUGCCAAUUUUGUGGAUGCCAUUCAUACCUUUACCCGGGAGCACAUGGGCCUGAGCGUGGGCAUCAAACAGCCCAUAGGACACUAUGACUUCUAUCCCAACGGGGGCUCCUUCCAGCCUGGCUGCCACUUCCUAGAGCUCUACAGACAUAUUGCCCAGCACGGCUUCAAUGCCAUCACCCAGACCAUAAAAUGCUCCCACGAGCGAUCGGUGCACCUUUUCAUCGACUCCUUGCUGCACGCCGGCACGCAGAGCAUGGCCUACCUGUGUGGUGACAUGAACAGCUUCAGCCAGGGCCUGUGCCUGAGCUGCAAGAAGGGCCGCUGCAACACGCUGGGCUACCACGUCCGCCAGGAGCCGCGGAGCAAGAGCAAGAGGCUCUUCCUCGUAACGCGAGCCCAGUCCCCCUUCAAAGUUUAUCAUUACCAGUUCAAGAUCCAAUUCAUCAACCAAACUGAGACGCCAAUACAAACAACUUUUACCAUGUCACUACUCGGAACAAAAGAGAAAAUGCAGAAAAUUCCCAUCACUCUGGGCAAAGGAAUUGCUAGUAAUAAAACGUAUUCCUUUCUUAUCACGCUGGAUGUGGAUAUCGGCGAGCUGAUCAUGAUCAAGUUCAAGUGGGAAAACAGUGCAGUGUGGGCCAAUGUCUGGAACACGGUCCAGACUAUCAUCCCAUGGAGCACAGGGCCGCGCCACUCAGGCCUCGUUCUGAAGACGAUCAGAGUCAAAGCAGGAGAAACCCAGCAAAGGUGACUGCUGAUUCAAUCUCCUAUUAACGUCCAUUAAGCACCCACUUGUGCCAGGCAGUCUCACAAUUUAAUACUCACAUUCAUCAUGUGAAGUGAGUAUUAUUAGGCCCUAGUGAUGGAGUACAGAAGCUCAGAAAGGUGAAGUGACUAUCCCAACUUUACACAGCCACAGGUGCCAGGACAAGGAUUCAUACCCAGGUCUUUGAAUACACACCAGGGUCUCCCCACUGCCCGUGGCUAACGCUGCCUGCCUCUGGAGCCUGAGGACCACCACACUAACCCCAG